UUGACCUGCGGAAGGAUCAUUA
rnacentral:rRNA from 1 species